UACAGAGAGUGCAAGCGUUAAUCGGAAUUACUGGGCGUAAAGCGCACGUAGGUGGAAUUUCAAGUCGGAUGUGAAAGCCCCGGGCUUAACCUGGGAAUUGCAUUCGAUACUGGAAUUCUAGAGUGUAGUAGAGGGAAGUGGAAUUUCCGGUGUAGCGGUGAAAUGCGUAGAUAUCGAGAGGAACACCUGCGGCG
rnacentral:rRNA from 1 species